AAUGGAAUGCUAUCUCUAGAGUACUGAAAGAAACUAAAGGCCAACGUGUGAAAAACAAUCUUCAGAAAUGAACGUUAAAUGAUGACAUUUUCAAACAAACAAGCAACAAAAAGAAGCAAAAAGUAAACAAAAAACAAAAAUUCACAUAAUUUAUUGCUAGGAGUUUUACACUGAAAUGCUGAAGGGAUUUCUACUAGCAAAAGUAAAAAUGAUCUCAUUUGAAAAGAUGGAAAUUCAAGGAGGGAAUGAAGAAUACUGGAUGGGUAAAUGUGUUGGUAACUGUAAAUGAAUACUGACUACACAAAAUUAUGUUGAAUAACUGAAAGAUGAAAACACAAUCACUUGAAGGAGAAAUGUAUGGUCAAACUGCAUGCAGGAAAAACUUCUAUAAAAGAGUUACUUCAUGCUCUGGGUUGGCAGAUACAAUGAGCAGGAGUGCAUCAGAAGUAAUCAAGAAGGUGAUUAGUUGGUGUACUUCAGCAGGAGCAACCAGAUGAAUUGGCUUCUCUAUAUCCCCGUAUUAGCCACAAGCUAGGCAGCAGCCUGCAGGUGGGAGCAAUGCCUAUGCAUGUAUGGAUCAGUGUGCUACAUACAGUCACGUUGACAGCAUGAACCUUCGAUGUGAUGUGAGGAAAAUGGCAUUCUACCUCUGUGUUCUUCCUCCCCAAAAUUUGUAACCACCAUCUAAUCAUGAGGAAAACAUCAUACAAGUCCAAAUUGAGGAAGAUUCUACAAAAUGCCUGAUUAAUAUUCAUCGAAACUGUCAAGGUCAUCAAAAGCAAGGAAAGUCUGAGAAACUGCCACAGCCUAAAGACAAUCCAGGGAAACGUGAUGACUCAGUGGUAUUCGGGGUGGGUUUCUGGAACAGCAAAAGGACAACAGGUACCCUGAGCCACUAUCUAAAUUGUCUGCUUACCUUAUGAAGACACCAUAAGGAGGUAUAACGUGUGGUGAGCACAGGUGAAGAGCUAGAGGCCUGAAACUAGAUGGGGAGGGAGAAGCCAGCCAUGCCUGCAUCCAGGGCUGCACUCAGCCUCCCAGCAUCUGUGCAGAGGCAUCAGUCAAGCCACAGCUAACUGCAGUCCCAGCUAACAUUAUGUGGAACAUCCCAGUCAUCCCAGAUCAUCCCAGUCAACCAAGAUCAUAAAAUUGUUUUCAGCUAUUAAGUUUAAAUAUGUGAAAUAAGGAGAUAAAAAUACUGACUUGGACUCUGUCUGAAUGAAAGGAUUAGUAGAUUAGAUUAGUGAUUCUUAAAAGACUUUCUUGGAUGCAUAUAAGUGUCCACAAAAUAAGAGUAUGAUGGUUUCCAGGUACAAAUAAGAUGGAAAACUAUUUUGUGAAUCAGAAUUAAAUUGGUUUAUUUACUGUAGAACUUCUAAGAGGCUUUAACAUGUACAUUUAAUUAUCAUAAGCCUUAUGAAAACUCCAGGAGGACAGAAGAGUUGCCUGUGACUUUUUUUAAAGUGUUUAUUCACAUCCCAAGGAAGGAUUCCCAGAAGAGAUGAUGCCUAAGCAGUGUCCCAACCAUGAAAUAAAGUCUCCUAGCUACUGGACAAGAUCAUCUCGAAGCUUAUUUCCAGCUCCAAAUGUUAUUAUUUUCCUCAAACCCAUUAUAAAAUGGCCUCUCUUAGCACUAUGAGAUCUGUAAUACAAGAAGUAGAACAAACACAUGAAGUUCCUGUUGGAAAUUCAAACUUCUCAUACAGCCUUCACUGAGUUCUACUCAUUAUGGAUAAAGGCUUCUGCUUUGAGUCACCUAAGUACUUUUGACCCCCAACUUAAUCAAUGCCUUGAAGUGAAAAUACAGUGUCAGGCAGUCCCUAUUCAUGACACAAACAAACCAACCAACUCAUAUCAUGACUUAAUGGUGUGAGACCUCAGUAAAAACUUUAUAUGAACUAAA
rnacentral:lncRNA from 1 species